AUUGAACGCUGGCGGCAUGCUUUACACAUGCAAGUCGAACGGUAACAGGCCGCAAGGUGCUGACGAGUGGCGCACGGGUGCGUAAUGCAUCGGAACGUGCCCAGUCGUGGGGGAUAACUACUCGAAAGAGUAGCUAAUACCGCAUACGAUCUAUGGAUGAAAGCGGGGGACCGUAAGGCCUCGCGCGAUUGGAGCGGCCGAUGUCAGAUUAGGUAGUUGGUGGGGCAAAGGCUCACCAAGCCAACGAUCUGUAGCUGGUCUGAGAGGACGACCAGCCACACUGGGACUGAGACACGGCCCAGACUCCUACGGGAGGCAGCAGUGGGGAAUUUUGGACAAAGGGCGCAAGCCCGAUCCAGCAAUGCCGCGUGCAGGAAGAAGGCCUUCGGGUUGUAAACUGCUUUUGUACGGAACGAAACGGCUCUGGUUAAUACCCGGGGCUAAUGACGGUACCGUAAGAAUAAGCACCGGCUAACUACGUG
rnacentral:rRNA from 1 species